rnacentral:rRNA from 1 species
GACGAACGCUGGCGGCGUGCUUAACACAUGCAAGUCGAACGGAAAGGCCCUGCUUGCCGGGUACUCGAGUGGCGAACGGGUGAGUAACACGUGGGUGAUCUGCCCUGCACUUCGGGAUAAGCCUGGGAAACUGGGUCUAAUACCGGAUAGGAGCCAUUUUUAGUGUGAUGGUUGGAAAGUUUUUUCGGUGUAGGAUGAGCUCGCGGCCUAUCAGCUUGUUGGUGGGGUAAUGGCCUACCAAGGCGGCGACGGGUAGCCGGCCUGAGAGGGUGGACGGCCACAUUGGGACUGAGAUACGGCCCAGACGCCUACGGGAGGCAGCAGUGGGGAAUAUUGCACAAGGGGCGCAAGCCUGAUGCAGCGACGCCGCGUGGGGGAUGACGGCCUUCGGGUUGUAAACUCCUUUCGCUAGGGACGAAGCUUUUUGUGACGGUACCUAGAGAAGAAGCACCGGCUAACUACGUG